GACGAACCGAGCGAACGUUGUUCGGAAUCACUGGGCGUAAAGCGCACGUAGGCGGCUUUCUAAGUCAGGGGUGAAAUCCUGGAGCUCAACUCCAGAACUGCCUUUGAUACUGGAGAGCUUGAGUCCGGAAGAGGUGAGUGGAACUCCGAGUGUAGAGGUGAAAUUCGUAGAUAUUCGGAAGAACACCAGUGGCGAAGGCGGCUCACUGGUCCGGUACUGACGCUGAGGUGCGAAAGCGUGGGGAGCAAACAGG
rnacentral:rRNA from 1 species